UACAGAGGGUGCAAGCGUUGUUCGGAAUUAUUGGGCGUAAAGGGCGCGUAGGCGGUGCGGUAAGUCCGCAGUGAAAUCUCUGGGCUCAACUCAGAGUCUGCUGUGGAAACUGCCGUGCUUGAGGACUGGAGAGGAGACUGGAAUUCAUGGUGUAGCAGUGAAAUGCGUAGAGAUCAUGAGGAAGACCAGUGGCGAAGGCGGGUCUCUGGACAGUUCCUGACACUGAGGCACGAAGGCCAGGGGAGCAAACGGG
rnacentral:rRNA from 1 species